rnacentral:rRNA from 1 species
GGCUCAGGAUGAACGCUGGCGGUAUGCUUAACACAUGCAAGUCGAACGAUGUUUUAGGACAUAGUGGCGGACGGGUGAGUAACGCGUGAGAAUCUGCCUUCAGGUCGGGGACAACAGUUGGAAACGACUGCUAAUACCGGAUGUGCCGAGAGGUGAAAGGCUUGCUGCCUGAAGAAGAGCUCGCGUCUGAUUAGCUAGUAGGUGUGGUAAGAGCGCACCUAGGCGACGAUCAGUAGCUGGUCUGAGAGGAUGAUCAGCCACACUGGGACUGAGACACGGCCCAGACUCCUACGGGAGGCAGCAGUGGGGAAUUUUCCGCAAUGGGCGAAAGCCUGACGGAGCAAUACCGCGUGAGGGAGGAAGGCUCUUGGGUCGUAAACCUCUUUUCUUAGGGAAUAAAAAAAAUGAAGGUACCUAAGGAAUAAGCAUCGGCUAACUCCGUGCCAGCAGCCGCGGUAAUACGGAGGAUGCAAGCGUUAUCCGGAAUGAUUGGGCGUAAAGGGUCUGUAGGUGGCGGUGAAAGUCUGCGGUUAAAGAGUCUAGCUCAACUAGAUAAAAGCCGUGGAAACUACACAGCUAGAGUGCGGUAGGGGCAAGAGGAAUUCCUGGUGUAGCGGUGAAAUGCGUAGGUAUCAGGAAGAACACCGGUGGCGAAAGCGUCUUGCUAGACCUGCACUGACACUGAGGGACGAAAGCUAGGGGAGCGAAUGGGAUUAGAUACCCCAGUAGUCCUAGCCGUAAACGAUGGAUACUAGGCGUGGCUCGUAUCGACCCGAGCCGUGCCGGAGCUAACGCGUUAAGUAUCCCGCCUGGGGAGUACGCACGCAAGUGUGAA